rnacentral:rRNA from 1 species
GAGUUUGAUCGUGGCUCAGAUUGAACGCUGGCGGCAUGCCUUACACAUGCAAGUCGAACGGCAGCAUGAUCUAGCUUGCUAGAUUGAUGGCGAGUGGCGAACGGGUGAGUAAUACAUCGGAACGUGCCCUGUAGUGGGGAUAACUAGUCGAAAGAUUAGCUAAUACCGCAUACGACCUGAGGGUGAAAGUGGGGGACCGCAAGGCCUCAUGCUAUAGGAGCGGCCGAUGUCUGACUAGCUAGUUGGUGGGGUAAAGGCCCACCAAGGCGACGAUCAGUAGCUGGUCUGAGAGGACGAUCAGCCACACUGGGACUGAGACACGGCCCAGACUCCUACGGGAGGCAGCAGUGGGGAAUUUUGGACAAUGGGCGAAAGCCUGAUCCAGCAAUGCCGCGUGUGUGAAGAAGGCCUCGGUGU